UCGAGCGGCGGACGGGUGAGUAAUGCCUAGGAAAUUGCCCUGAUGUGGGGGAUAACCAUUGGAAACGAUGGCUAAUACCGCAUGAUGCCUACGGGCCAAAGAGGGGGACCUUCGGGCCUCUCGCGUCAGGAUAUGCCUAGGUGGGAUUAGCUAGUUGGUGAGGUAAGGGCUCACCAAGGCGACGAUCCCUAGCUGGUCUGAGAGGAUGAUCAGCCACACUGGAACUGAGACACGGUCCAGACUCCUACGGGAGGCAGCAGUGGGGAAUAUUGCACAAUGGGCGCAAGCCUGAUGCAGCCAUGCCGCGUGUAUGAAGAAGGCCUUCGGGUUGUAAAGUACUUUCAGUCGUGAGGAAGGCGGUGUCGUUAAUAGCGGCGUUGUUUGACGUUAGCGACAGAAGAAGCACCGGCUAACUCCGUGCCAGCAGCCGCGGUAAUACGGAGGGUGCGAGCGUUAAUCGGAAUUACUGGGCGUAAAGCGCAUGCAGGUGGUUUGUUAAGUCAGAUGUGAAAGCCCGGGGCUCAACCUCGGAAUAGCAUUUGAAACUGGCAGACUAGAGUACUGUAGAGGGGGGUAGAAUUUCAGGUGUAGCGGUGAAAUGCGUAGAGAUCUGAAGGAAUACCGGUGGCGAAGGCGGCCCCCUGGACAGAUACUGACACUCAGAUGCGAAAGCGUGGGGAGCAAACAGGAUUAGAUACCCUGGUAGUCCACGCCGUAAACGAUGUCUACUUGGAGGUUGUGGCCUUGAGCCGUGGCUUUCGGAGCUAACGCGUUAAGUAGACCGCCUGGGGAGUACGGUCGCAAGAUUAAAACUCAAAUGAAUUGACGGGGGCCCGCACAAGCGGUGGAGCAUGUGGUUUAAUUCGAUGCAACGCGAAGAACCUUACCUACUCUUGACAUCCAGAGAACUUUCCAGAGAUGGAUUGGUGCCUUCGGGAACUCUGAAACAGGUGCUGCAUGGCUGUCGUCAGCUCGUGUUGUGAAAUGUUGGGGUUAAGU
rnacentral:rRNA from 1 species